UCCUACGGGAGGCAGCAGUAGGGAAUCUUCCGCAAUGGACGAAAGUCUGACGGAGCAACGCCGCGUGAGUGAUGAAGGUUUUCGGAUCGUAAAGCUCUGUUGUUAGGGAAGAACAAGUGCAAGAGUAACUGCUUGCACCUUGACGGUACCUAACCAGAAAGCCACGGCUAACUACGUGCCAGCAGCCGCGGUAAUACGUAGGUGGCAAGCGUUAUCCGGAAUUAUUGGGCGUAAAGGGCUCGCAGGCGGUUUCUUAAGUCUGAUGUGAAAGCCCCCGGCUCAACCGGGGAGGGUCAUUGGAAACUGGGAAACUUGAGUGCAGAAGAGGAGAGUGGAAUUCCACGUGUAGCGGUGAAAUGCGUAGAGAUGUGGAGGAACACCAGUGGCGAAGGCGACUCUCUGGUCUGUAACUGACGCUGAGGAGCGAAAGCGUGGGGAGCGAACAGGAUUAGAUACCCUGGUAGUCCACGCCGUAAACGAUGAGUGCUAAGUGUUAGAGGGUUUCCGCCCUUUAGUGCUGAAGUUAACGCAUUAAGCACUCCGCCUGGGGAGUACGGCCGCAAGGCUGAAACUCAAAGGAAUU
rnacentral:rRNA from 1 species